UACGUAGGGCGCAAGCGUUGUCCGGAAUUAUUGGGCGUAAAGAGCGCGUAGGCGGUUUGUCGCGUCUGUCGUGAAAGCUUGGGGCUUAACCCCAAGUCUGCGGUGGAUACGGGCAGACUAGAGGCAGGUAGGGGAGAACGGAAUUCCCGGUGUAGCGGUGAAAUGCGCAGAUAUCGGGAGGAACACCGGUGGCGAAGGCGGUUCUCUGGGCCUGUACUGACGCUGAGGAGCGAAAGCGUGGGGAGCGAACAGG
rnacentral:rRNA from 1 species